GACGAACGCUGGCGGCGUGCUUAACACAUGCAAGUCGAACGGAAAGGCCCUGCUUUUGUGGGGUGCUCGAGUGGCGAACGGGUGAGUAACACGUGAGUAACCUGCCCUUGACUUUGGGAUAACUUCAGGAAACUGGGGCUAAUACCGGAUAGGAGCUCCUGCUGCAUGGUGGGGGUUGGAAAGUUUCGGCGGUUGGGGAUGGACUCGCGGCUUAUCGGCUUGUUGGUGGGGUAGUGGCUUACCAAGGCUUUGACGGGUAGCCGGCCUGAGAGGGGGACCGGCCACAUUGGGACUGAGAUACGGCCCAGACUCCUACGGGAGGCAGCAGUGGGGAAUAUUGCACAAUGGGCGGAAGCCUGAUGCAGCAACGCCGCGUGCGGGAUGACGGCCUUCGGGUUGUAAACCGCUUUCGCCUGUGACGAAGCGUGAGUGACGGUAAUGGGUAAAGAAGCACCGGCUAACUACGUG
rnacentral:rRNA from 1 species